rnacentral:tRNA from 1 species
GUAAAUGGUGGUCUUCGGCCUCUCACGCCGAAAACGCGGGUUCGAUCCCCGCUGGGACCA